rnacentral:rRNA from 1 species
CAAGUCUUGACAUCCCGAUGACGUAGGGGCAAUGCCCUAUUCUCUUCGGAGCAUUGGAGACAGGUGGUGCAUGGUUGUCGUCAGCUCGUGUCGUGAGAUGUUGGGUUAAGUCCCGCAACGAGCGCAACCCUUAUUCUUAGUAGCCAGCAGGUAAAGCUGGGCACUCUAAGGAGACUGCCAGGGAUAACCUGGAGGAAGGUGGGGAUGACGUCAAAUCAUCAUGCCCCUUAUGACUUGGGCUACACACGUGCUACAAUGGCGUAAACAAAGGGAAGCGAAGGGGUGACCUGGAGCGAAUCUCAAAAAUAACGUCUCAGUUCGGAUUGUAGUCUGCAACUCGACUACAUGAAGCUGGAAUCGCUAGUAAUCGCGAAUCAGCAUGUCGCGGUGAAUACGUUCCC